CUUUCAGAAUUUCUAAAGUGUUUAAAACACCAUUAUUUCCAGAACUUGGAGCUCCUGCCAUCCGUCGGUGCUGUGCCGUGGUGCUUUGUGUACUUGCUCAGGUCCUUGUAAGUUAUUAAUUUAUGCAGAGUGUCUAUUACCGCGCAGGGCGCCGUAGCAGGCAUUUGUGCCAUCACGGGGCUUUUCUACAGAAGGAAGGCACCUCGUGCUUUUGUUUUUCUGGAGGACUUGAAAUAUCCUGCUUGAUGGGACCCAAGAUGAGAUGUUUACUUUCUGUUUGAGACCUUAUUGGAAAACAGCUCCCCCACGUCCCAAGGCUGUGUUAUGGUACCAGACACACAGCUCAGGACACCCCAGGUGGAACCUGGAAUGGCUUUUAUUUUAUUUUUUAUUCUUUGGAAUCCCUGUCUUGGGUUGUAGCCAGGGGCUUCAGGAAGGUCUCAGCGUGCCUUCAGGCCUGUACCCUGAAGUUCUAGACAACAGGUAGGCUCUGGUUUCUAACCAGCAGCUUUGAAGAGAAC
rnacentral:lncRNA from 1 species